rnacentral:lncRNA from 1 species
UCUACCAAUCACUGCUCGUGAACCGUUUUGUCGAAAAAGAACUAAUUUCGGGAUUCUGUCGACGGGAACAGACAGCUUCGAAAUAUUUUUCUGCUCUGAUCACGUGACACCGGCAGAAUAAUAAUCUUUCUCUGGAUCAGACGCCAUGUUCUUUUUAACCUCAAUCUUUAAUUUUUGGAUGGUUUGUUUUGAUAUAUUAUUUUGCUGUUGGUUGUUAGAUUUCGGAUUGCUACUAUUAUACUGUGAAAUUAAUUUGUAGUAGAAAAUUGAGGUAUAAAAUAUUUCCAUUGGUUUCUUUAUUCUUAUAAUUUUUACAAGAGAAAUUGAAAAUGGAUUUACAACAGAAAGGCGUGAAAUUCGUUAUUAAUUUGAUGCGACAGUUCAAAGUUUUGUACUUUCCAGACCUGCACAACGAAUUACCUAUUUGAAAAAUAGAAUAUGGUUGAAAAUUGCUGAUGUGAUAGAGGAUUCAAGUACCAUUUACAAACAAAAUAUUGAAGAGAAUGUGCUCGAAAGGAAAUUCAUAUGAAUUCUUUUUUGUUGACCAGGAUGGAAAAAGUCAUUGGAACCCAUAGUUAGAAUAAGAAUAAGUUAGGCCUAGAGGUGUACCAGCCAGAAGUAGAGGAUGACAAAGAAAAUCAACUAUGAAUAAUAUUCCAUGGAUAUGAUUCAUGUAUGAUGUAGUAGCCUACAGAAGAAAGAGAUGGACUAAUCUAAGAAAUAUAUUCAUUUUUUCAGUACAUCUUGAUGUUUUUAUUUCAUGUUAUUCAUAAUAAUAUCUUCUUCUUCUGAUCGCUCCUGCAAACUGCUGCAAUUCAGGUAGUUUUGAAUUAUACAGCAAGUG